UACGGAGGGAGCUAGCGUUGUUCGGAAUUACUGGGCGUAGAGCGCGCGUAGGCGGCUUUGUAAGUUAGAGGUGAAAGCCCGGGGCUCAACCCCGGAACUGCCUUUAAGACUGCAUCGCUUGAAUCCGGGAGAGGUGAGUGGAAUUCCGAGUGUAGAGGUGAAAUUCGUAGAUAUUCGGAAGAACACCAGUGGCGAAGGCGGCUCACUGGACCGGUAUUGACGCUGAGGUGCGAAAGCGUGGGGAGCAAACAGG
rnacentral:rRNA from 1 species